rnacentral:rRNA from 1 species
GACGAACGCUGGCGGCGUGCCUAAUACAUGCAAGUCGAACGCUUCUUUCCUCCCGAGUGCUUGCCCUCAAUUGGAAAGAGGAGUGGCGGACGGGUGAGUAACAAGUGGGUAACCUACCCAUCAGAGAGGGAUAACACUUGGAAAAAGGUGCUAAUACCGCCUAACAGUUUAUGCCGCAUGGCAUAAGAGUGAAAGGCGCUUUCGGGUGUCGCUGAUGGAUGGACCCGCGGUGCAUUAGCUAGUUGGUGAGGUAACGGCUCACCAAGGCCACGAUGCAUAGCGGGCCUGAGAGGGUGAUCGGCCACACUGGGACUGAGACACGGCCCAGACUCCUACGGGAGGCAGCAGUGGGGAAUAUUCGACAAUGGACGAAAGUCUGACCCAGCAACGCCGCGUGGGUGAAGAAGGUUUUCGGAUCGUAAAACCCUUUUGUUGGAAAAGAACAAGAACUUUAUUAACCGAAGGUGCCCUGACGGUAUCCAACGAGAAAGCCACGGCUAACUACGUG